rnacentral:lncRNA from 1 species
UUGCAGGCUGGUAAGUUUUGGCCUCCCAAGUUGUUGAGGGCAGAUCUCACUGUAGCUUGGUGGAUCUUUCUGGCCCGUGGAGCCACCACAGUUCAGCCAGGAGAGGGGAUACAUGCUCUGCUGCGGAUGGUGGGGUUUCUGGGGCAGCUGUGACUCUUGGAUGCUCUCUUUCUUUCUCCUGUUAUCUCUACAGAUGAAAACCAGCGUGUCCACUGGUGAGACGAACUGUUCCGUGAGCCGGGGCCAGGAAAAGGCAGCAAACAAAAUGAACAGUCAGCCGAGUAGCGUUUGCUGGAGAUUUACGUGGAAACCUGCUCACAGAUGCAGGGCUGCUGGAUUUAUAACAAGGGUAAAAGAGGAAAAUGCCUUUGUGUUUACACAUGAGCCAGAGGGAAAGGGGAGCAGUGCAUCUUAAGGCUCCCUGUUGGGCUAUGCCCUCCAUGCAGGUAGCACCUGAGAUGUAAGACCAGCAAACAUGCUUUAGUUCCAGACAUGCUCUCUCAUUGAAUCGUCACAUCCACCCUCCAGGGCACUGUUACCAACACUUUAUGGAUGAAGAAAUUGAAGCAUCAGAGAUGUCAGCGUUUUUACCAAAGGUCUCAAAGGUCCAAGUAGCAGAGCCAGAAUCCGACCCUGGUCUGACUCAGGGGUCUUCGUUUUUCUCUGCGCUAGUUGUGUUGGUGUUACUAGCUCUGGGUAGACCCCCUGCCUCAUCAUAGGUGUUCCAGAAGUGCUUAUUGAAUUAACCAGAACAAACACCUAAAGCUAUACUUGGAAAGUUUCAACUUCAUGGACUAUAUACCCUUAUGGGAAGGAAAUGCUGAUGUAAUGAAUCUGUGCCCAUGAGGCAUAGGAGAAAGCUUGGUUUAAACUUUGUUGGUUUUUUUUUUUCAAAUUUUUUAAAUUUUUUAAUUUAAUUUAUUUGAGAGAGAGAGAGAGAGUGCAUGUGCAUGAGCGGGGGUGUGGGGGGAGAAGUAGAGGGAGAGGGACAAGCAGAUUCUGCACUAAGUGUGGAGCCCCACACGGGGCUUGAUCCUACGACUCUGAGAUCCUGACCUGAGCCAAAAUUGAGAGUCAGUUGCUUAACCGAUUGAGCCACCCAGGUGCCCCAGGUUUAACACUUUAAAGUCAUCCUGCUAUUACGUAUAACACAAUUUGUGUAGGGUCCUUUUUCUGUAAAGACACUUACCUAGCAUGAUAUGAACACACACAACCGCACAUUCCACACACUUCCCUUUCCUCGGCAGGGACCAGCUGGGUUAGCUUGGGGAGUAAGAUUGCAGCACCUCUCUCUGUGUCCUUGUAAGGAAAUUCCAAUAGCUCACACUUAGAAUCUUGCCUUUGGUGGGAAGCAGCUCACUGCACAGAGGAGCAAGAUAAGUGUUAUCGUGGCCAUUGGACUUGACUGAAGUUUAA